AUGCAAACGGAAAACGCGGACGACCAACAAACAGCAGAGACAAGCCUCCGUACGACGACCGAUCUGCAAAGAGCAAAACAUGUAUGGUUACAUCACAACUCGAUGCAAUUGUCGGAUGCGGCACAAGCAAACGAACACGGUUCUGCACUAUAUGCCGUGGCCCUGGACACAAAAGCACAACAUGUCCACAAAGAGGGGACACGCCUCAAAAGAAAAGGAAAGAACCGAAAUGCUCAAUCUGCGGAGUGGGAGGGCAUCGAAAGAAUACCUGCAACAAAGAUUGUGGCACUCAUGAUCCUGCUAUCAAACAGUGAUUAA
rnacentral:rRNA from 1 species